CGCUUGGUGAAUUUUCUCUAGUGCCCAAGAAAAUAUUAGAAAUACAUAAUAAAGAUGAGGUGCUGAGAGCAGACAACGGCAGUACAGAAAACCCAGAUCAAGUUGAGGGGGUUAGGGUUGACAAAGAUUUUGUUGAUGGUCUUUUGGAGGGAAAAGUCAAAUUGAAAAAUAUGCAGGGCCAUCUUGAUUGUGUAACAGGAUUAGCCGUUGGAGGUGUGAAGUUCUCAUCUAAUGCUUUUAGAUUGCAAGAUUAUGCUUUUUCAGUUAUUAAUCCAUUCCAUGACACUUCAUUUGUCACUUAAUAU
rnacentral:misc_RNA from 1 species